rnacentral:misc_RNA from 1 species
GAACUAUGAGGAAAAUAAAAUCCGGGUUUCAAAAAGAAAUGUUGUUAAGGCUGUUGAUUUGGGUCCUGAAGAGAUUGGAAAAGUGUUGGGGCAAGUGAUUGAUACAAUGGGGUUGUCACCUGUGGAUUUGGUUUUGCAUGAUUCAGCAUUGGGUUUGACUGCUAAUUGGGUUUCGGAGAACCGUGGAUUGCUUAGAAGUGUGGUGGUUCUAGAUAGUGCGCCUACUGGAACAGCAUUGCCAUUAUGGGUGUUGGAAAUGCCAGUGUUAAGGGAUGCUGUUUUGGGAUUGGGAUUUGCUUUUAGGAGAUUACUUGGAACGUGCUGUUCUAGAUCGGUUGGUAACUUGGAGGCUGAGGGUCAUAGGAUUCUUUUGAAGGGAAGGGAUGGAAGAAGAGCUGUUGUAGGGAUGGGGAAGAGCCUGAAUUGUAGUUUUGAUUUGAAUGAAUGGGCUGCUUUGGAUGGAGUGAAAGGGCUACCAAUGCAAGUCAUUUGGUCUGAUGCCUUGUCCAAGGAGUGGACCGAGGAGGGACGUCAAGUUGCUGAUGCAAUCCCUCAGGCAAAAUUUAUCAGUCAUUCUGGUGGGAGAUGGCCCCAGGAGCAUAAUUCAGAGGAGAUAGCUGAAAGUAUCUAUCAAUUUGUUUCCUCCUUGCCGAAGAAUGUGAAACAAACUGAAGAAACUGUACCUGAACAUGUCCAGACGAUGUCUGAUGAAGCGAAGAGUGGUGAUCACCACCACCACCACGGUCAUGAUAGCCAUGGCCACGAGCAUGCUCAUGCCGGAUAUAUGGAUGCAUAUGGGCUUGGUCAAGAGUGGGCCAUGUGAUUUGCUUUGUAGAAAAUGUACUCUCUUGAUUGCUUUCCCAAGUUUUAAGACUAGACUAGAUUCAUACCCUUAAAUUCCUCUCUUUUUUUCCCCCCUAGCUGCAUUUUCACAGUGG